GGGUGCAUAGCUCAGUUGGCUAGAGCGCAGCCCUGAUAAGGCUGAGGUCCAUGGUUCGAGUCCAUGUGCACCCA
rnacentral:tRNA from 1 species